rnacentral:rRNA from 1 species
GACGAACGCUGGCGGCGUGCCUAAUACAUGCAAGUUGAGCGCUGAAGGUUGGUACUUGUACCGACUGGAUGAGCAGCGAACGGGUGAGUAACGCGUGGGGAAUCUGCCUUUGAGCGGGGGACAACAUUUGGAAACGAAUGCUAAUACCGCAUAAAAACUUUAAACACAAGUUUUAAGUUUGAAAGAUGCAAUUGCAUCACUCAAAGAUGAUCCCGCGUUGUAUUAGCUAGUUGGUGAGGUAAAGGCUCACCAAGGCGAUGAUACAUAGCCGACCUGAGAGGGUGAUCGGCCACAUUGGGACUGAGACACGGCCCAAACUCCUACGGGAGGCAGCAGUAGGGAAUCUUCGGCAAGGGACGAAAGUCUGACCGAGCAACGCCGCGUGAGUGAAGAAGGGUUUCGGAUCGUAAAACUCUGUUGGUAGAGAAGAACGUUGGUGAGAGUGGAAAGCUCAUCAAGUGACGGUAACUACCCAGAAAGGGACGGCUAACUACGUG